GCCCCCGUAGCUCAAUCGGAUAGAGCGGCGAGCUACUAACUCGAUUGUUCUGGGUUCAAUUCCCAGCGGGGGCA
rnacentral:tRNA from 1 species